rnacentral:lncRNA from 1 species
GGUUCAUAGUGGCUAUAUGACAAAUACGCAUUAAACAGCCUUUACUUAAAUGUUCUGUUUUAGAGAUUAGAAUGAAAUUCCUCGUCUUGGUUGUAGUUUUCUUUACAAUAGAUGCAAGCAUAUGAAAGAGAGACAAAAUAUACCAAAGAGACAUUGAAAGUCAUAAGUCGAAAUAAGCUGACAACGCCAUGGCCAAAAAAUGAAAAAAAAAAACCCACAGACAAACAAUAGUACACAUAGCACAACCUUUGAUAGCCGUGACUUCGGUUUCUUGACUUGAGCCGGCUGCCAUUUUGUCUGUAUGUCUCAAAGAAAAACAGGCAACAGUACAUAAGUUACCGAUGGUUAUGUUUAAAACAAAGCAUGGUGAAUUCCAGGAAAAACAAAAAAUAGCUCAGUUUGGUUGUGUCAACAAGAUGUUACCCGUGUCAUGCGAAUCAAAAGUAUCAUUAUAUUACAAACAGGAAUGGAACAC